GGCGGAUUUACGACCGUGUCGUCAUAACAACGGGCCGCGCCGGAGCGAGGAAGACGACGCCAGGUUGGCGGGGCGGGGCCAGGCUACAGAAAAGCAACAAAACCUGGCAGCUGACCUCAGGACCAGCUGCAUUGACUGAUGACCCCCUGCUCUGGCACCUGCCAAUCUGUGGAGACCCUGACCCUGAAACGAUACACCUGGAAAGUUGAUGAGUAUUCUAUUGGGAUCCUCUCCUGGUAUUGCCCCUAAAACCCCCGCCCUUAAAAGCCCUUAGGGUGGAGGACCCAGCUUGCUCUCCCUCCCCUGAGCACACCCUCCACUUUUCCCCUCCCAUGCCUCUUCCCUCUCCCUCCAAAGCAUGUUACCUCCUGAGCCUAUUUCUUCUGCCACUCACUUCUUCCACCUCUGUGAUUUUCUAAAUAAAUGUUCUCUUAUA